GCAAGUCGAACGGUAACAGGAAAUAGCUUGCUAUUUUGCUGACGAGUGGCGCACGGGUGCGUAACGCGUAUACAAUCUACCUCUUACAGGGAGAUAGUCUUUAGAAAUGAAGAAUAAUACCCCAUGGUAAGUAUUUAUGGCAUGAUAGAUACUUUACAGUUACGGCGGUAAGAGAUGAGCAUGCGUUCGAUUAGCUAGUUGGUGUGGUAACGGCACACCAAGGCGACGAUAGAUAGGGGCCCUGAGAGGGGGAUC
rnacentral:rRNA from 1 species